rnacentral:rRNA from 1 species
AUUAUCAAUGGCCGCGGUACUUUGACCGUGCUAAGGUAGCGCAAUCAAUUGGCUUUUAAUUGAAGCCAUGUAUGAAUGGAAUUACGGGGUUAAGCUGUCUCCUAGCUACUUUAUUGAAAUUACUAUUUAGGUGAAAAAGCCUAAGAAGAGAAAAAAGACGAGAAGACCCUUAGAGUUUUUCUAAAACCAGAAAGCGUUUCUGAAACAGUUUAGUUGGGGCAACAUAGGAACAAGAACAAUUUUAACCUCCUGAGAAACACCUACCGAUAUUAAUAAACAUGAAUAAACUACCUUAGGGAUAACAGCAUAAUUUUAUAAAUAAGUUUGUGACCUCGAUGUUGGACUAGGAAACUGAAAGGCUAGCCGCCUUUUAGGAAAGUUCUGUUCGAACUAUUAUUCCU